AUAUUUUAAAGUGUCCAGUCAAUAAUGUCAAUUAUGAUUGUUUUGCAAAUUCCGGCUGAGCUAUUUAUGGACUUCACAUUUUGUCAAGGAUGUGGGAACAGAGCUAUUUUUGAAAUCUUGUUGGCUUUUUUGGUGUCAGGACGAGAUAACGAGGACAUUUGAUCUAUUUGUAACAUUGUUCCUCCCACGUUUUGUCCAAGUACUUUUCCUGUGUCUGUGUAUCGUUUGAAUUUGGUAUAAAAGAAGGAGCUAAAAGAGCUUCUUCGUGAAUUGAUCUAAAACAGCGAUGUAAUUCAGACCUCUGCUGGUCCAUACUUAGCUCCGAAUUUCGCUAGGUCUUUACUAAAUACUUCACUACUUUAUUCUGUGACCCACAAUUCUAUCACUUCAAGUCUACCCAAACUAAACAUUUAAAAUGCGCCCCACAAAUUUUGCAAAUCUCUCAAAAGUUUGGUGGAUCGGCCUAAUUUAUUUGGCAGUGAUAGUUCAUGAGACUCGAUCCGAGUGGAGUGCUGUGCGUCUCAACAGUUACAGAAACAGGGACAUUCCAAUUCCGUACCAAGACUCUCGAAACGCACAACGGAUGACUUGUGACUGUGUGGACGAAGAAAAUGCUUCAGUGUGUGCUUCGAAUGGCAUCCGGUAUAAAAAUCGGUGUCAGUUCCACUGUGCACGACGCUUCGACUUGAAUCUCCGAAUUAUGGUGGAUCGAUUUUGCCGAAAAUUUUACUAUGCAGGAUAUCGAUACGGUUUCUUUAAUGAUAAUGGGAGGGUAGACUGAGGUUGGAUCUAUGUAGUUAGUGGAAAUCGGCAAGCUGCAAUUAUUUAUAGUCUCAACUGCAGUAUUAAUCAGUAUUAUUUUCAAUAAUGUAGGCAUAUUUAGAAUAUCCUAUUUUGGAUAAAAUACAUAAAUUUUCCCAUGAUAUUUAAAUAUUAAAUAAAAUUGUAUAUACUUAUCAA